rnacentral:rRNA from 1 species
CGCCUCUUGCUAACAAAGGAAGUACUAGAGGUCCCGCCUGCCCUGUGACCACAAAGUUUAACGGCCGCGGUAUCCUGACCGUGCGAAGGUAGCGUAAUCAUUUGUCUUUUAAAUAGAGACCUGUAUGAAUGGCAUAACGAGGGUUUAACUGUCUCCUUCCCCUAGUCAAUGAAAUUGAUCUGCCCGUGCAGAAGCGGACAUAAAUACAUAAGACGAGAAGACCCUAUGGAGCUUUAGACAAAAGAUCAAACAUGUAAAGAAACCAAACCAACCAAAAGGAACACGAAGGCCACAAAACCCAACGUAAACUGAUCUAAAUGUCUUCGGUUGGGGCGACCAUGGGGGAAAGAAAAGCCCCCACGAGGAACAGGGACAACCCCUAAACUAAGAGAGACACCUCUAAGCAACAGAAAAUCUGACCAAAAUGACCCAGGAUACUAAUCCUGAUCAACGAACCAAGUUACCCUAGGGAUAACAGCGCAAUCCUUUCCCAGAGUCCAUAUCGACGAAAGGGUUUACGACCUCGAUGUUGGAUCAGGACAUCCUAAUGGUGCAGCCGCUAUUAAGGGUUCGUUUGUUCAACGAUUAAUAGUCCU